GGCGGCCGCGGGANUUCGAUUAGAGUUUGAUCCUGGCUCAGAAUGAACGCUGGCGGCGUGCCUAACACAUGCAAGUCGAACGAGAAAUUUCCGCUUCGGCGGAAAAAGUAAAGUGGCGCACGGGUGAGUAACGCGUGGGUAACCUGCCUCUGAAUCUGGGAUAACCCCGUGAAAACGGGACUAAUACCGGAUAUUGUCCUUUUGGCUGUGGCCAUUUGGAUGAAAGGUGACCUCUUCAUGAAAGUUGCCGUUCGGAGAGGGGCCCGCGUACCAUUAGCUAGUUGGUGGGGUAAUGGCCUACCAAAGCGACGAUGGUUAGCUGGUCUGAGAGGAUGAUCAGCCACACUGGAACUGGNAACACGGUCCAGACUCCUACGGGAGGCAGCAGUGAGGAAUUUUGCGCAAUGGGGGAAACCCUGACGCAGCAACGCCGCGUGAGUGAUGAAGAUUUUCGGAUCGUAAAGCUCUGUCAAGCGGGAAAAAACACUUUCGGUUAAUACCCGGAAGGAUUGAUGGUACCGCUGGAGGAAGCACCGGCUAACUCCGUGCCAGCAGCCGCGGUAAUACGGAGGGUGCAAGCGUUGUUCGGAUUUACUGGGCGUAAAGAGCGUGUAGGCGGUUUGGCAAGUCAGAUGUGAAAGCCCUGGGCUCAACCCAGGAAGUGCAUUUGAAACUGCCAUACUAGAGUAUGGGAGAGGAGAUUGGAAUUCCCAGUGUAGAGGUGAAAUUCGUAGAUAUUGGGAGGAACACCGGUGGCGAAGGCGACUCUCUGGACCAAUACUGACGCUGAGACGCGAAAGCGUGGGGAGCAAACAGGAUUAGAUACCCUGGUAGUCCACGCCGUAAACGAUGAGAACNAGGUGUAGCGGGUAUUGACCCCUGCUGUGCCGCAGCUAACGCAUUAA
rnacentral:rRNA from 1 species